GAUCCGCUGGAUGGCCCUCGCAUUGGCCUGGGACUGGGAGACGCAGACGGUCAGGACAAGGCUUUGGACAGACAGGAAGCCAAGAUCCCAUGAGAGUGUCUGGGGGUGCUCAUCGAAGGGCGGACGCCCUCCCAGAUGUGCCCCCUCUUGGCCCCUGCUGCCCUGAGAGGCACCUGAGCAGGAUGAGGACGGGGAAGCUGAAGGCGUGGGAGCCCAGGUAGCGGAGGGCGCGCUGGCCAGAGGGCGGGAGCCGGAGGGCCAUCAGCUCUGGGACCACCUGCCAGGGGGCCGCGUAGUUGG